AGUGAACGCUGGCGGUAGGCCUAACACAUGCAAGUCGAACGGCAGCACAGGAGAGCUUGCUCUCUGGGUGGCGAGUGGCGGACGGGUGAGGAAUACAUCGGAAUCUACUCUGUCGUGGGGGAGAACGUAGGGAAACUUACGCUAAUACCGCAUACGACCUACGGGUGAAAGCAGGGGACCUUCGGGCCUUGCGCGAUUGAAUGAGCAGAUGUCGGAUUAGCUAGUUGGCGGGGUAAAGGCCCACCAAGGCGACGAUCCGUAGCUGGUCUGAGAGGAUGAUCAGCCACACUGGAACUGAGACACGGUCCAGACUCCUACGGGAGGCAGCAGUGGGGAAUAUUGGACAAUGGGCGCAAGCCUGAUCCAGCCAUACCGCGUGGGUGAAGAAGGCCUUCGGGUUGUAAAGCCCUUUUGUCGGGAAAGAAAUCCAGCUGGCUAAUACCCGGUUGGGAUGACGGUACCCAAAGAAUAAGCACCGGCUAACUUCGUGCCAGCCGCCGCCGUAA
rnacentral:rRNA from 1 species